rnacentral:other from 1 species
AAAUCCCUGCUGAGUGCGAUAACUACGGUCUGGAUGGCCCUACACCAUCACGAAGGGGGCCGUUCUCCGGCGCCGGAUUGCAGACCUCCCGGGCAGGCCCCGCGCCUGUCUGGACGAAGGGAGCGUGAACGUGCCGGGAGGCCACCCACCUGCUUUUCGGGCAGGUCAUUCCACGCCGUUCCGGCUUGGUGGGGAUUUU